rnacentral:rRNA from 2 species
GAUCUUCUCCUUCAUGGGAGAUGAUUGAAAGAUGGUUUCGGCUAUCACUUACAGAUGGGCCCGCGGUGCAUUAGCUAGUUGGUGAGGUAACGGCUCACCAAGGCAACGAUGCAUAGCCGACCUGAGAGGGUGAUCGGCCACACUGGGACUGAGACACGGCCCAGUACUCCUACGGGAGGCAGCAGUAGGGAAUCUUCCGCAAUGGACGAAAGUCUGACGGAUGCAACGCCGCGUGAGUGAUGAAGGCUUUCGGGUCGUAAAACUCUGUUGUUAGGGAAGAACAAGUACAAGAGUAACUGCUUGUACCUUGACGGUACCUAACCAGAAAGCCACGGCUAACUACGUGCCAGCAGCCGCGGUAAUACGUAGGUGGCAAGCGUUAUCCGGAAUUAUUGGGCGUAAAGCGCGCGCAGGCGGUUUCUUAAGUCUGAUGUGAAAGCCCACGGCUCAACCGUGGAGGGUCAUUGGAAACUGGGGAACUUGAGUGCAGAAGAGAAAAGCGGAAUUCCACGUGUAGCGGUGAAAUGCGUAGAGAUGUGGAGGAACACCAGUGGCGAAGGCGGCUUUUUGGUCUGUAACUGACGCU